rnacentral:rRNA from 1 species
UUAAGUUAGAAAGGGCGCACGGUGGAUGCCUUGGCACUAGGAGCCGAUGAAGGACGGGACGAACACCGAUAUGCUUCGGGGAGCUGUAAGCAAGCUUUGAUCCGGAGAUUUCCGAAUGGGGAAACCCACCACUCGUAAUGGAGUGGUAUCCAUAUCUGAAUACAUAGGAUAUGAGAAGGCAGACCCGGGGAACUGAAACAUCUAAGUACCCGGAGGAAGAGAAAGCAAAUGCGAUUCCCUGAGUAGCGGCGAGCGAAACGGGACCAGCCCAAACCAAGAGGCUUGCCUCUUGGGGUUGUAGGACACUCUGUACGGAGUUACAAAGGAACGAGGUAGAUGAAGAGGUCUGGAAAGGCCCGCCAUAGGAGGUAACAGCCCUGUAGUCAAAACUUCGUUCUCUCCUGAGUGGAUCCUGAGUACGGCGGAACACGUGAAAUUCCGUCGGAAUCCGGGAGGACCAUCUCCCAAGGCUAAAUACUCCCUAGUGACCGAUAGUGAACCAGUACCGUGAGGGAAAGGUGAAAAGCACCCCGGAAGGGGAGUGAAAGAGAUCCUGAAACCGUGUGCCUACAAGUAGUCAGAGCCCGUUAACGGGUGAUGGCGUGCCUUUUGUAGAAUGAACCGGCGAGUUACGAUCCCGUGCAAGGUUAAGCAGAAGAUGCGGAGCCGCAGCGAAAGCGAGUCUGAAUAGGGCGAAUUGAGUACGUGGUCGUAGACCCGAAACCAGGUGAUCUACCCAUGUCCAGGGUGAAGUUCAGGUAACACUGAAUGGAGGCCCGAACCCACGCACGUUGAAAAGUGCGGGGAUGAGGUGUGGGUAGGGGUGAAAUGCCAAUCGAACCUGGAGAUAGCUGGUUCUCUCCGAAAUAGCUUUAGGGCUAGCCUCAAGGUAAGAGUCUCGGAGGUAGAGCACUGAUUGGACUAGGGGCCCCUACCGGGUUACCGAAUUCAGUCAAACUCCGAAUGCCGAUGACUUAUCCUUGGGAGUCAGACUGCGAGUGAUAAGAUCCGUAGUCGAAAGGGAAACAGCCCAGACCGCCAGCUAAGGUCCCAAAGUAUACGUUAAGUGGAAAAGGAUGUGGAGUUGCUUAGACAACCAGGAUGUUGGCUUAGAAGCAGCCACCAUUUAAAGAGUGCGUAAUAGCUCACUGGUCGAGUGACUCUGCGCCGAAAAUGUACCGGGGCUAAACGUAUCACCGAAGCUGCGGACUGUUCUUCGAACAGUGGUAGGAGAGCGUUCUAAGGGCUGUGAAGCAAGACCGGAAGGACUUGUGGAGCGCUUAGAAGUGAGAAUGCCGGUAUGAGUAGCGAAAGAGGGGUGAGAAUCCCCUCCACCGAAUGCCUAAGGUUUCCUGAGGAAGGCUCGUCCGCUCAGGGUUAGUCGGGACCUAAGCCGAGGCCGAAAGGCGUAGGCGAUGGAUAACAGGUUGAUAUUCCUGUACCACCUCCUCACCAUUUGAGCAAUGGGGGGACGCAGGAGGAUAGGGUAAGCGCGGUAUUGGAUAUCCGCGUCCAAGCAGUUAGGCUGGGAAAUAGGCAAAUCCGUUUCCCGUGAAGGCUGAGCUGUGAUGGCGAGCGAAUUAUAGUAGCGAAGUUCCUGAUUCCACACUGCCAAGAAAAGCCUCUAGCGAGGUGAGAGGUGCCCGUACCGCAAACCGACACAGGUAGGCGAGGAGAGAAUCCUAAGGUGAUCGAGAGAACUCUCGUUAAGGAACUCGGCAAAAUGACCCCGUAACUUCGGGAGAAGGGGUGCUCUGUUAGGGUGCAAGCCCGAGAGAGCCGCAGUGAAUAGGCCCAGGCGACUGUUUAGCAAAAACACAGGUCUCUGCGAAGCCGUAAGGCGAAGUAUAGGGGCUGACGCCUGCCCGGUGCUGGAAGGUUAAGAGGAGCGCUUAGCGUAAGCGAAGGUGCGAAUUGAAGCCCCAGUAAACGGCGGCCGUAACUAUAACGGUCCUAAGGUAGCGAAAUUCCUUGUCGGGUAAGUUCCGACCCGCACGAAAGGCGCAACGAUCUGGGCACUGUCUCAACGAGAGACUCGGUGAAAUUAUAGUACCUGUGAAGAUGCAGGUUACCCGCGACAGGACGGAAAGACCCCGUGGAGCUUUACUGCAGCCUGAUAUUGAAUGUUGGUACAGCUUGUACAGGAUAGGUAGGAGCCUUGGAAACCGGAGCGCCAGCUUCGGUGGAGGCAUCGGUGGGAUACUACCCUGGCUGUAUUGACCUUCUAACCCGCCGCCCUUAUCGGGCGGGGAGACAGUGUCAGGUGGGCAGUUUGACUGGGGCGGUCGCCUCCUAAAAGGUAACGGAGGCGCCCAAAGGUUCCCUCAGAAUGGUUGGAAAUCAUUCGCAGAGUGUAAAGGCACAAGGGAGCUUGACUGCGAGACCUACAAGUCGAGCAGGGACGAAAGUCGGGCUUAGUGAUCCGGUGGUUCCGCAUGGAAGGGCCAUCGCUCAACGGAUAAAAGCUACCCCGGGGAUAACAGGCUUAUCUCCCCAAGAGUCCACAUCGACGGGGAGGUUUGGCACCUCGAUGUCGGCUCAUCGCAUCCUGGGGCUGUAGUCGGUCCCAAGGGUUGGGCUGUUCGCCCAUUAAAGCGGUACGCGAGCUGGGUUCAGAACGUCGUGAGACAGUUCGGUCCCUAUCCGUCGCGGGCGCAGGAAAUUUGAGAGGAGCUGUCCUUAGUACGAGAGGACCGGGAUGGACGCACCGCUGGUGUACCAGUUGUUCUGCCAAGGGCAUCGCUGGGUAGCUAUGUGCGGACGGGAUAAGUGCUGAAAGCAUCUAAGCAUGAAGCCCCCCUCAAGAUGAGAUUUCCCAUUCCGCAAGGAAGUAAGAUCCCUGAAAGAUGAUCAGGUUGAUAGGUCUGAGGUGGAAGUGUGGCGACACAUGGAGCUGACAGAUACUAAUCGAUCGAGGACUUAACCAA